rnacentral:rRNA from 1 species
CCUACGGGUGGCAGCAGUGGGGAAUAUUGCACAAUGGGGGAAACCCUGAUGCAGCGACGCCGCGUGAAGGAAGAAGGUUUUCGGAUCGUAAACUUCUAUCAGCAGGGAAGAAUAAAUGACAGUACCUGACUAAGAAGCCCCGGCUAACUACGUGCCAGCAGCCGCGGUAAUACGUAGGGGGCAAGCGUUAUCCGGAAUCACUGGGUGUAAAGGGUGCGUAGGCGGUAUGAUAAGUCAGAUGUGAAAACCAAGGGCUCAACCUUUGGACUGCAUUUGAAACUAUCAAACUAGAGUAUGGGAGAGGAAAGUGGAAUUCCUAGUGUAGCGGUGAAAUGCGUAGAUAUUAGGAGGAACACCAGUAGCGAAGGCGACUUUCUGGAACAUAACUGACGCUGAGGCACGAAAGCGUGGGGAGCAAACAGGAUUAGAUACCCCGGUAGUC